UACGAAGGGGGCUAGCGUUGCUCGGAAUCACUGGGCGUAAAGCGCACGUAGGCGGAUCUUUAAGUCAGGGGUGAAAUCCCGGAGCUCAACUCCAGAACUGCCUUCGAUACUGGGAGUCUCGAGUCCGGGAGAGGUGAGUGGAACUGCGAGUGUAGAGGUGAAAUUCGUAGAUAUUCGCAAGAACACCAGUGGCGAAGGCGGCUCACUGGCCCGGUACUGACGCUGAGGUGCGAAAGCGUGGGGAGCAAACAGG
rnacentral:rRNA from 1 species